CUCACAGUUCAUGGGUUUGAGCCCCACGUCGGGGUGUCACUGCAGAGCCGGCUUCACAUCCUGUCUUCCUCUCUCUGCCCGUCCCUCUCUCGUGCUCAUACGCGCGCUCCCUCUCUCUCUCUCUCAAAAGUAAGUAAAUGUCAACAACAAAAAAAAGCAAAAGCAGAACAGCAUCCAAGUGACCCAGAAGAGCCCCUCUCAGAUUGCUCACCUGGAGCCUGAGAGACCCCGCUUACCACGCUGCAGGGGGACCGUGCCCGCCUCCGCAAGCUGCAAGCGGGUCUAACUAGCAGCUUCUCCUGGUCUCGGGUCUCAGCCACGUUUUUUCUUUUACUAAGAACUGUUUGUAUGGGAGAGUUUAUGUAAGAGAAGUAAAUCGAGGACAGAAGGAAAUAGUUUAGCGUCUCCAGAGUUCUCGGAAGAGUCCCUUCUUCGAGCCUGGGCAAUGUCCCGGGAGGGCACCCCCACUGCAGCUAAGGCUCAGCCUGUUCCCACGAUGCACCGACAUUUCAUCACGCUGCCAUAUUCUUCUCAAUCACGACUGAGAUCUCCCUUCCCGACAAAGUGCCGCUUCCCACCCCGCCACUGCCUUUCGCAAAUGUUCCGCCACGUGCGUACGUGGCUGUCCCGAGGCAGAAAGAGGAUUCUGACCACUUGGGUCUACCCGGGGCUGUCGGUUCAGAGGCAGAUCAGGCUCCUGAGUGGGCAGCUGCUGGGGGCCGGGCCGGGACACUGCUGCCUGUUCUAACUCAUAGAACAGGGAUGAAAUUAAGUCUUUUCUGAGACAAUUCUGGAGCAAAUGUGAAAUUUCGUGACACACUUGUAAAUGACAGAGCUCCAAGUAAACGCUGGUUCUCAUUAUAAAACGUGAAAUUACGCGGAGAGCACACACUAGUUCACUGUAUUAAAAAUCGUCACAGGAUUUGCUGGGACAACGAACGCGCCCAAGUCCUCCGCAGCGCUGACCAGAAACAAAGACUCGGGCAGUUGGAUGAGGGCCCCACUUGCACACAGCGGGCCGGGACUCUGUGGGCACACCACGAAACACGGAGACCCUGUGGGUGACACGGACACAUCUUAAAUGCGUCCAUGAACUCGCAAGAGGCGAGGAAGUCCCGGUCCCAAACCGCGGCCACGGUGGCACCCAGAGUGAUGGGCGGAGGCGCUCACACCCUGAGAGCACGUGCUCCGUGAGGAGGCCCCGCGGGGGAUUCUCACGGUCGCCAGGGGCGCGGCAGACAAAGGGCCGAGUUCAGAUCCAUGGUCAGUGAGGCCCCACUGUGGUUCCGUCACCGGGAGGGGAUCUGCGAGGAAGUGCACCGCCUGAGGCCCUGGUGCUGGCGGGGGAGGGGACCCAGGCGCAGAACCCAACUGACAUUACCCGAGGGACACCGACCCUCAAGCCACAGCGGAUCUGGCCCUGGCGGAGCCCCCGGGAGCCCAGCAGGAGCAGGAAUCGGCCUGCAACCCAGAGCUCAAAGCAAUCCCAAAGACGGGCUUCAAGGAGCUGGCUCACAAGAAGGUAACUACUAUGAACACAGUCACCGAAACAAUAGCAGCAGAGACAUAAAAUUAAAAUCCUUAAUUUAAACGUAGCUAAUAAGGGAUCUAAUAUAAAGAGCAAAAACGGAGGGGCACCUGAGUGGCUCAGUCGGUUUAAGUGUGCAACUUCAGCUCAGGUCAUGACCUCACGGUCUGUGGGUUCAAGCCCUGUGUCGGGCUCCAGGCUGACAGCUCAGAGCCCGGAGCCUGCUUCAGAUUCUGUGUCUCCCUCUCUCCCUCUGUCCCUCCCCCACUCACGCUCUGUCUCCCUCAAAAAUAAACAUUAAAAAAGAAAAAAAGCAAAAAUGGAAAAAAACAUAAGGAGAAGUGCACAACCAGAGUGAGAGACUUUUAACACAUCUGUGCAGUAACUGACAGGACGGGCAUCGGUAAGGACGCAGAAGUAUGGAGCGACCCACCU